rnacentral:lncRNA from 1 species
GAGCCACGGUCGUGUGCUGUUUUGUGAGUAGGCGAAUAGAUGCAGUGAUGUGCUCUUUUGCGAGAGAGCGAAGAGAACCAGUGGUCUGCUUCCUCUCCAGGCAGCGAAGAGACGAAGCGGUUUGCUUGUUCGCCAGGCAGCGAAGAGACACAGCGGUCUGCUUGUUCGCCAGGGAGCGAACAGCUUAGGCAGUCUCCUUGUUUGUGAGACAGCGAACAUCCACAGUGGUCACUCAUUUGGCGAGGCAGCGAAGCGACA